rnacentral:rRNA from 1 species
CCUACGGGAGGCAGCAGUGGGGAAUAUUGCACAAUGGGGGAAACCCUGAUGCAGCGACGCCGCGUGAGUGAAGAAGUAAUUCGUUACGUAAAGCUCUAUCAGCAGGGAAGAAACACUGACCUUACGGUCAGCAGACGGUACCUGAGUAAGAAGCCCCGGCUAACUACGUGCCAGCAGCCGCGGUAAUACGUAGGGGGCAAGCGGUAUCCGGAUUUACUGGGUGUAAAGGGAGCGUAGAGGGUGCGCCAAGUAUGGAGUGAAAUUGCGAAGCUUAACUGCGGAACUGCUUUGGAAACUGGCGAACUAGAGUGCGGGAGGGGGAAGCGGAAUUCCUAGUGUAGCGGUGAAAUGCGUAGAUAUUAGGAGGAACACCGGUGGCGAAGGCGGCUUACUGGACCGUAACUGACGUUGAGGCUCGAAAGCGUGGGGAGCAAACAGGAUUAGAUACCCCUGUAGUC